GUACUCUUUUAAGGCUGGUGCAGUGCUUUUAGAGGCUAACACAGAAGAGGGACAUAAUCUCCAUAAAAGCCCAGAGAAGAGAUAAUAAAACACCUCUUGUCUGAAGUCAUAAUU
ensembl:snoRNA